UUUGAUUGGUCAGAGGCAUGACGGUUUGUACUGAGCCUUUACCAAAUGUUUUGCUACCUAAAAUGAUGGCGCGUUGAUGAUCUUGUAAGGCACCGGCUACGAUUUCAGAAGCGGAUGCUGAACCACCAUUCACUAAUACCACCAGUGGCGCACCUUUUAAGAUGUCGUUUGGUUUGGCAUUAAACUCUUGGGCGGCAUCCUUAAUGCGACCUUCGGUAUAGACGAUUUUACCUUUAGUAAUAAAGGCAUCUGAAACAUCAACCGCAGCAUCUAACAAACCACCUGGAUUGUUACGA
rnacentral:ncRNA from 1 species